AACGAACGCUGGCGGCAUGCCUAACACAUGCAAGUCGAACGAGACCUUCGGGUCUAGUGGCGCACGGGUGCGUAACGCGUGGGAACCUGCCCUUAGGUUCGGAAUAACUCCCCGAAAGGGGUGCUAAUACCGGAUAAUGUCUUCGGACCAAAGAUUUAUCGCCUUUGGAUGGGCCCGCGUUGGAUUAGCUAGUUGGUAGGGUAAAAGCCUACCAAGGCGACGAUCCAUAGCUGGUCUGAGAGGAUGAUCAGCCACACUGGGACUGAGACACGGCCCAGACUCCUACGGGAGGCAGCAGUGGGGAAUAUUGGCCAAUGGGCGAAAGCCUGAUCCCGCAAUGCCGCGUGAGUGAUGAAGGCCUUAGGGUUGUAAAGCUCUUUUACCCGGGAUGAUAAUGACAGUACCGGGAGAAUAAGCUCCGGCUAACUCCGUG
rnacentral:rRNA from 1 species